GAUGAACGCUGUCUACAGGCUUAACACAUGCAAGUCGAGGGGAAACGACGGGGAAGCUUGCUUCCCCGGGCGUCGACCGGCGCACGGGUGAGUAACGCGUAUCCAACCUGCCUCUGACUGAGGGAUAACCCGUCGAAAGUCGGCCUAAUACCUCAUGGCAUCGUCUGCGGGCAUCCAACGACGAUUAAAGAUUUCAUCGGUCAGGGAUGGGGAUGCGUCUGAUUAGCUUGUUGGCGGGGUAACGGCCCACCAAGGCUACGAUCAGUAGGGGUUCUGAGAGGAAGGUCCCCCACAUUGGAACUGAGACACGGUCCAAACUCCUACGGGAGGCAGCAGUGAGGAAUAUUGGUCAAUGGGCGGGAGCCUGAACCAGCCAAGUAGCGUGCAGGAUGACAGCCCUAUGGGUUGUAAACUGCUUUUAUGCGGGGAUAAAGUGAGGGACGUGUCCUUCAUUGCAGGUACCGCAUGAAUAAGGACCGGCUAAUUCCGU
rnacentral:rRNA from 1 species